rnacentral:rRNA from 1 species
GAUGAACGCUGGCGGCGUGCCUAAUACAUGCAAGUCGAGCGAACAGACGAGGAGCUUGCUCCUCUGACGUUAGCGGCGGACGGGUGAGUAACACGUGGAUAACCUACCUAUAAGACUGGGAUAACUUCGGGAAACCGGAUCUCAUACCGGAUAAUAUAUUGAACCGCAUGGUUCAAUAGUGAAAAACGGUUUUGCUGUCACUUAUAGAUGGAUCCGCGCCGCUUUAGCUAGUUGGUAAGGUAACGGCCUACCAAGGCAACGAUGCGUAGCCGACCUGAGAGGGUGAUCGGCCACACUGGAACUGAGACACGGUCCAGACUCCUACGGGAGGCAGCAGUAGGGAAUCUUCCGCAAUGGGCGAAAGCUUGACGGAGCAACGCCGCGUGAGUGAUGAAGGUCUUCGGAUCGUAAAACUCUGUUAGUAGGGAAGAACAAAUGUGUAAGUAACUAUGCACGUCUUGACGGUACCUAAUCAGAAAGCCACGGCUAACUACGUG